AUACGAAGGGUGCGAGCGUUAAUCGGAAUUACUGGGCGUAAAGCGCGCGUAGGCGGUUGGAUAAGUCGGAUGUGAAAGCCCCGGGCUCAACCUGGGAAUUGCAUUCGAAACUGUCCGGCUAGAGUAUGGUAGAGGGAAGCGGAAUUCCACAUGUAGCGGUGAAAUGCGUAGAUAUGUGGAGGAACACCAGUGGCGAAGGCGGCUUCCUGGACAAAUACUGACGCUGAGGUGCGAAAGCGUGGGGAGCAAACAGAAUUAGAAACCCUAGUAGUCC
rnacentral:rRNA from 1 species